rnacentral:rRNA from 1 species
CCUACGGGGGGCUGCAGUGGGGAAUAUUGGACAAUGGGGGGAACCCUGAUCCAGCCAUGCCGCGUGUGUGAAGAAGGCCCUCGGGUUGUAAAGCACUUUCAGUGAGGAAGAACGCCUGGUGGUUAAUACCCAUCAGGAAAGACAUCACUCACAGAAGAAGCACCGGCUAACUCCGUGCCAGCAGCCGCGGUAAUACGGAGGGUGCGAGCGUUAAUCGGAAUUAAUGGGCGUAAAGCGCGCGUAGGUGGCUUGAUAAGCCGGUUGUGAAAGCCCCGGGCUCAACCUGGGAACGGCAUCCGGAACUGUCAAGCUAGAGUGCAGGAGAGGAAGGUAGAAUUCCCGGUGUAGCGGUGAAAUGCGUAGAGAUCGGGAGGAAUACCAGUGGCGAAGGCGGCCUUCUGGACUGACACUGACACUGAGGUGCGAAAGCGUGGGUAGCAAACAGGAUUAGAUACCCUAGUAGUC